GUCGGCGACUGCCAGCCGUGUCUCGCCGAUUCCCCUUACGGGAUCGGCGACUCGUAUGCUGGAGUCGGCGACUCUGAUGCCUACUGAUGAUGAUUCUUCCGCGCGUCGCACCGCACCAUUGGUCGUGAGCGCGGAGGGCCGGAUUGUGUCGGGACUGAACCCGAGCCAAGGUCCUUCUCUGAAGAGGAAGAGAAGGCGCACCACCGGGAAGGGCAAAGUACAUGUGCCCGAGGAAAAUGAAGGGGUCCCUCCUCCUCUCAAUGUUAACAUCGAGGAGACUCUGAUAGUGGACCGUGGU
rnacentral:lncRNA from 1 species